ensembl:rRNA 5S_rRNA 5S ribosomal RNA
AUAGCUAAUGGUACCAAUUUGAAUGGGCCUGAUCUCAUCUGCUCUCAGAAGCUAAGUGAGGUCCAGCCUGAGGGGAGAAGUUAGAAAGUGGCUUGUCCAGGACUCAGGGGAAGCAGCUGUC